UUUCUUUGCUGGCGACCGGCGCACGGGUGAGUAACACGUAUCCAACCUGCCCUUUACUCGGGGAUAGCCUUUCGAAGGAAAGAUUAAUACCCGAUAGCAUAAUGAUUCCGCAUGGUUUCAUUAUUAAAGGAUUCCGGUAAAGGAUGGGGAUGCGCUCCAUUAGGUUGUUGGUGAGGUAACGGCCCACCAAGCCUUCGAUGGAUAGGGGUUCUGAGAGGAAGGUCCCCCACAUUGGAACUGAGACACGGUCCAA
rnacentral:rRNA from 1 species